AUUGAACGCUGGCGGCAGGCCUAACACAUGCAAGUCGAACGGUAACAGGAAGAAGCUUGCUUCUUUGCUGACGAGUGGCGGACGGGUGAGUAAUGUCUGGGAAACUGCCUGAUGGAGGGGGAUAACUACUGGAAACGGUAGCUAAUACCGCAUAACGUCGCAAGACCAAAGAGGGGGACCUUCGGGCCUCUUGCCAUCGGAUGUGCCCAGAUGGGAUUAGCUAGUAGGUGGGGUAACGGCUCACCUAGGCGACGAUCCCUAGCUGGUCUGAGAGGAUGACCAGCCACCCUGGAACUGAGACACGGUCCAGACUCCUACGGGAGGCAGCAGUGGGGAAUAUUGCACAAAGGGCGCAAGCCUGAUGCAGCCAUGCCGCGUGUAUGAAAAAGGCCUUCGGGUUGUAAAGUACUUUCAGCGGGGAGGAAGGGAGUAAAGUCAAUACCUUUGCUCAUUGACGUUACCCGCAGAAGAAGCACCGGCUAACUCCGUG
rnacentral:rRNA from 1 species